rnacentral:rRNA from 1 species
CAGGAUGAACGCUGGAGGCGUGCUUAACACAUGCAAGUCGAACGAAGCACUUGAAACGGAUUCUUCGGAUGAAGUUUCCUGUGACUGAGUGGCGGACGGGUGAGUAACGCGUGGGUAACCUGCCUUAUACAGGGGGAUAACAGUCAGAAAUGGCUGCUAAUACCGCAUAAGCGCACAGAGCUGCAUGGCUCAGUGUGAAAAACUCCGGUGGUAUAAGAUGGACCCGCGUUGGAUUAGCUAGUUGGCAGGGCAACGGCCUACCAAGGCGACGAUCCAUAGCCGGCCUGAGAGGGUGGACGGCCACAUUGGGACUGAGACACGGCCCAGACUCCUACGGGAGGCAGCAGUGGGGAAUAUUGCACAAUGGGGGAAACCCUGAUGCAGCGACGCCGCGUGAGCGAAGAAGUAUUUCGGUAUGUAAAGCUCUAUCAGCAGGGAAGAAAAUGACGGUACCUGACUAAGAAGCCCCGGCUAACUACGUGCCAGCAGCCGCGGUAAUACGUAGGGGGCAAGCGUUAUCCGGAUUUACUGGGUGUAAAGGGAGCGUAGACGGAAUGGCAAGUCUGAUGUGAAAGGCCGGGGCUCAACCCCGGGACUGCAUUGGAAACUGCCAAUCUAGAGUACCGGAGGGGUAAGUGGAAAUUCCUAGUGUAGCGGUGAAAUGCGUAGAUAUUAGGAGGGA